AGUGUGGAUGAUUACACAUUGACCAUAGGUAGGUCUGUUUUGACCGUUUUGGUUCAAAGUUUAGGACCUACCAAUGACCCGGACUGUCAUAGUUACACUGACACACC
ensembl:snoRNA